GAUGAACGCUAGCGGGAGGCCUAACACAUGCAAGCCGAGCGGUAGAGUUUCUUCGGAAACUUGAGAGCGGCGCACGGGUGCGUAACACGUGUGCAACCUACCUUUAUCUGGGGGAUAGCCUUUCGAAAGGAAGAUUAAUACCCCAUAAUAUAAUGAUUGGCAUCAAUUAUUAUUGAAAACUCCGGUGGAUAGAGAUGGGCACGCGCAAGAUUAGAUAGUUGGUGAGGUAACGGCUCACCAAGUCAAUGAUCUUUAGGGGUCCUGAGAGGGAGAUCCCCCAACAUGGGAACGAGACACGGACCAGACUCCUACGGGAGGCAGCAGUGAGGAAUAUUGGGCAAUGGGUGAGAGCCUGAUCCAGCCAUCCCGCGUGAAGGAUGACGGUCCUAUGGAUUGUAAACUUCUUUUGUACAGGGAUAAACCUACCCUCGUGAGGGUAGCUGAAGGUACUGUACGAAUAAGCACCGGCUAACUCCGUG
rnacentral:rRNA from 1 species